AUGGCAGUAUUUGUGGGAGUAAAAACAUGGUCUUCAAAAAAGAUCGUGCUACCUGUCGAUGGAGAUAGAACCACGGUUGUAGUUGCCCAAGAACCAGCCCCACCACACAUAACCCAAACUCACGCAGAUUGUACCCCUACCCAGUUGGACAGAGAACCAGCUACACCCCUUCUAACCCCAACCCCAGCAGAUAGUAACCUAGUUCCUGUUGACACAACACCGUCUCCACCACAGAGCACCCAAACACGAACAGUUAGUAAGGCAACUGCAGUGCCCAAAGAACGAGGACCACCACUCCGAACCCCAAGUCAACGCUUAAACCAGAAGAAGAAUUGUUCUCAGGUCAGGUGCCGUAGCUAUGGUUCAUACCACUUUGCUCUUGCAUCACUGUAUUUACUCAUACCAACUAAUUUCAAAUUUGAAGGAUGCAGUUGA
rnacentral:rRNA from 1 species